rnacentral:rRNA from 1 species
GGUGGAACGGUGAAAUGUGUAGAUAUCUGGAGGAACACCGGUGGCGAAGGCGACUCACUGGCCUGUAUCUGACGCUGAGGUGCGAAAGCUAGGGUAGCGAACGGGAUUAGAUACCCCGGUAGUCCUAGCCCGUAAACGAUGGGCACUAAGCAACGGGCUUCCCUAUGGGGCUCAUUGCCGUAGCUAAUGUGUUAAGUGCCCCGCCUGGGGAGUACGCUCGCAAGGGUAAAACUCAAAGGAAUUGACGGGGGAUCACACAAGCGGUGGAGCAUGUGGUUUAAUUCGAAGCAACGCGAAGAACCUUACCUGGCCUUGACAUGCAUGGAUUAGCUCUGUGAAAGCAGAGUGACAGCUCUUCGGAGUCGGAACAUGUGCAGGUGUUGCAUGGCUGUCGUCAGCUCGUGUCGUGAGAUGUUGGGUUAAGUCCCGUAACGAGCGAAACCCUUGUCGUUAGUUGCCAGCGGGUAAUGCCGGGGACUCUAGCGAGACUGCCGUUGUCAAAACGGAGGAAGGUGGGGACGACGUCAAGUCAUCAUGGCCCUUAUGGCCAGGGCGACACACGUGCUACAAUGGCCGAUACAAAGGGUUCCAAGACCGUGAGGUGGAGGCAAUCCCAUAAAGUCGGCCCCAGUUCGGAUUGUAGGCUGCAAUUCGCCUACAUGAAGCCGGAAUCGCUAGUAAUCGCGUAUCAGCCAUG